GAUCUAGCUCAGUGGGUUGGAGCAUGGCGCUGAUAAUGCCAAGGUUCCAAGUUCGAGCCCCGCUGCGUAUUCU